UAGUAAUGGCAGAUAUGAUGAAAUAGCUGGGGGACACGCUGGGCCUCACACUAAGUGCAAUGGAAGGCAUGCAGUCAGCGCGUGGAUAGAAACGCCCUUGGUAGAUCCUGGGGCAUUGUAUGUGGGCCCUAAAAGCAUAGCCUGCCCUUCGCCUUUUCAAUGGUAUGUGCCUGGAUAUUUCUCCAGUCAGCAUCUAGUGCUAUACACAGAAUCCAGAAUUUUCAGUUAUUUUCACUUUUCAAAUCAACUUUUUGUUCAGUCUCAUUGAACUCCCACUUUUGGUGGAUUUCUGACUGUCUGAUGCUGUUCCAUUAAUCCCAGGAGGAAUGGAUUCAUGAUCAGAACAGAGGUGAGGAGUUGAAAGUUCAUGGAAAAUGAAAGUUCUGAUAUUAUUCCAUAAUUUAUAGUGUGGAUAUUGCUGUUAUACAAAGGGAAUCUGUUGGUAUAGAUGUGUAUAUUUUCAAAAGAAUUAAAUGGCUGAGUUUUUCCUCAGUGGG
rnacentral:lncRNA from 1 species